AUAGGUCAUAGUUAGAGGUAUUGCUUUACAAUUACACCAGGAGGUAAUUAUAGCGAGGAUACAGUAAAUGUACACAGGGGAGGAAGGGGAAUUCUGAGAGGGAAAAAACAAAGUGGAUUACAACAGCCCAUUCAUCAUGUUAAUUAUAUCAGACAGUGAGGCUGUUUUUCCCUUUCAGUUAAGCCUAAAAGAAGAUAGAUGUGAAAGGUUUUGAAUUAUUGGACUGAGUUUGACAUCAGAUGGGAAAAAGCAUACCUUAAAUACCUAAGCCUUUAAACUUAUUUUAAACUACUUUCAAACAAAUGGACUUGAGCCAAUGGCCUGUGUAUAAUAAUAUUGUGGUGUUUGAGUUUCACUCCUUUCAUAUUUGCAUGUCUAAGCGGGAAAGCUGCUGAGUGUUGCUUUGUGUGAAUGUACAGUGCAGGUGGGUGUUCAGCUGGGUGUAAAAGUCUGACAGCAGAGAAAUUUGAGUCACGCCUGAGGCUGAGCCCACAAACCCCUCCUAAAUAUCUACUUUUUACUGCUGAAUUUCUACAUUUCCAACUCUGGUUAUGUUGCAAUCAUGAUUUUACACUGUGAAACAUUUAUGAUUUAUCAGGGGGCAGUUGUCUAUUUUGGAUUAUAUAAAUGUUUCUAUAGAACACAGAAGAUAACUUUGUUUACAAUAGUAGAUAGUAUCACUUUGAAGUCAGCGUGGUGUAUAUGGCCUCUUCGAGCCUACUUAACAGUACCAGGAACUAUAUGGACUUUCCAGUAAUUUUUUCAUUGGUAUCAAAAAAGUCCAGCAAAGGGAGUUCCCUUUUUGUGAAUAGGUAAUCGUAUAUUUGAAAUUAAAACACCAAGGAAUCUACAGUACAUUACACAGUCUA